GAACGCGAAGAACCUUACCAGGUCUUGACAUCCAGUGCAAACCUAAGAGAUUAGGUGUUCCCUUCGGGGACGCUGAGACAGGUGGUGCAUGGCUGUCGUCAGCUCGUGUCGUGAGAUGUUGGGUUAAGUCCCGCAACGAGCGCAACCCUUGUCAUUAGUUGCCAUCAUUAAGUUGGGCACUCUAAUGAGACUGCCGGUGACAAGCCGGAGGAAGGUGGGGGUGACGUCAAGUCAUCAUGCCCCUUAUGACCUGGGCUACACACGUGCUACAAUGGACGGUACAACGAGAAGCGAACCUGCGAAGGCAAGCGGAUCUCUUAAAGCCGUUCUCAGUUCGGACUGUAGGCUGCAACUCGCCUACACGAAGCUGGAAUCGCUAGUAAUCGCGGAUCAGCACGCCGCGGUGAAUACGUUCCCGGGUCUUGUACACACCGA
rnacentral:rRNA from 1 species